rnacentral:lncRNA from 13 species
UAGUGAUCAAAUUAUGAUCCUACAUCUGUAGAUUUUCCCCUCCUCUCCCUGAACCCGACCCUGCCACGGGUGGUAUGCGGCCAAGGCUGUAUGGCCCAGUGCACUACAGGCUCAUGUCAUGGCACGCAGGGAAAGAUGCGGAGGAGCGGUACGGCCACAGACUGGCGAGAACUUGAUCCGUGAGCGCACCUGCUGUUGUGCUUAGUUGAAGAAUGUCAGCUAUGUGGGAGAGAGGAGAGAGAGAGAGAGGCAGAGACAGAGCGAGAGAGAGGAAGAAAUUGAUUGGGGGAUAGAGAGAGAAGUGUUAACCCCAGAUGUCAGUCGGUCAGUUGGCCGGUUAUAUCCAACGCCUCGGCAACUUCUCUCUCUACCAUGGCUGAAAAACAUAACCCACCCCACCACAGACACAGUAGUACACCAGGUCUGACAGCUCUGGGGAAGCUGGACCCUAAGGAGAGUGAAAUGAUCAUGGAGUAUUUCAAAACACAGGUCCUGCUGCUGAAGGACAAGGAACUCUUGCAGAAAACGGUGAGAGAAGAGAAGAAGCUGUUGGUUGAGAACGCUAAGCNNNNNNNNNNGGGAGGAGGAGGAGAGGAGAGAGGAAGGGUGAGUAAUACCCCCCCCCACACACACACACACACACACACACACACACACACACUGACAAACACACACACACACUGACAAACACACACAGAUAGACAACUGUGACCAAUGCAAUGGUUUAAUGUCAAUCAAUGUAAAAGAGAAGACAAAAUCAACAAAUUAACACUUUGCUAACUGAGACAGACAAUCAGUAGUUAGGAGUCCAUUUGUCUGCACAGUGACUUCUAGAGAAGACCAGAUGAAUAUUUUUGAUUAGAUUUAAUGCAGCUAGGACUCUAUACUGAAGAUUACAGACAAGUAACUGUAGAGAGGGUGGUAGAGAGGGCGGUGGAGAGGGCUGUAGAGAGGGAAGGNNNNNNNNNNUCUCUCUCUCUCUCUCUGUCUCUCUCUCUCUCUCUCUCAAUUCAAUUUGCUUUAUUGGCAUGACAUAUCAAUAUACAAGCUUACUUUGGAGAUUUACAAUAUUAACAUAAUUAAUAUAAUAAUAAUCAAUAUUGUCAAUGGGACAACAGCAAUAAUAAAGGGCAGGUUGGUUGGUCUGUCAGACACGGUCCCUCAUCUUAUGCCAGGCAGCAAUGCCUGUAGUAGUGCGCUGCCAACCCACAGCUCUCUGCGUCCUCCCCCAACAGGACAGGUAGACUAUCCUCAUCAGAGAGGUCUUUGAAAUUUUGAAUAAGGGUUUCAAAUUUGGGAAAAUGACACUCUCUAAUUGUUUUAUAUUUUUGACAUUUUGUCAGGAAAUGCAGCUCCGUCUCGGGUUCUGCUGUGGUGCAGUGGUUGCACAGCCUUUCCUCUACAGGGAGCCAGGUUUUCAUCUCAAUGGCAAGGCUGUGCUCACUGAGCCUGUUUUAUUUGUAUUUCCCCUUUAUUUAACCAGGUCGGCCAGUUGAGAACAAGUUCUCAUUUACAACUGAAACCAAGAUAAAACAAAGCAGUGUGACAAAAAACAACAACACAGAGUUACACAUGGAAUAAACAAACGUACAGUCAAUAACACAAUAGAAAAUCUGUGCAAAUGAAGUAAGGAGGUAAGGCAAUAAAUAGGCCAUAGUGGUGAAGUCAUUACAAUAAAGCAAACGAACACUGGAGUGACAGAUGUUGUUUUCUGCUGUCUUCAACCAAGAUCUCAGCGAUCACUGCCUCAUUGCUUGCAUCCGUAAUGGGUCUGCGGUCAAACGACCACCCCUCAUCACUGUCAAACGCUCCCUGAAACACCUCAGCGAGCAGGUCUUUCUAAUCGACCUGGCCCGGGUAUCCUGGAAGGAUAUUGACCUCAUUCCGUCAGUAGUAGAGGAUGCUUGGUUAUUCUUUAAAAGUGCUUUCCUCACCAUCUUAAAUAAGCAUUCCCCAUUCAAAAAUGUUUAGAACUAAGAACAGAUAUAGCCCUUGGUUGACUCCAGACCUGUCUGUCCUUAACCAGCACAAAAACAUCCUGUGGCGUUCUGCAUUAGCAUCGAACAGCCCCCGUGACAUGCAACUUUUCAGGGAAGUUAGAAACCAUUAUACACAGGCAGUUAGGAAAGCAAAGGCUACGGAAGGAGGGUUGUAUGGCAUUGAAGCUCGUCUGGAGGGUUGUUAACACAGAGUCCAAAGAAGGGCCAGAAGUAUACAGAAUGGUGUCGUCUGCGUAGAAGGUGGAUCAGAGAAUCACCAGCAGCAAGAGCGACAUCAUUGAUGUAUACAGAGAAAAGAGUCGGCCCGAGAAUUGAACCCUGUGGCACCCCCAUAGAGACUGCCAGAGGUCCGGACAACAGGCCCUGCGAUUUGACACACUGAACUCUAUCUGAACUCUAACUCUAUCUAUUUGGCCAUGAUCAGUAACCAUGGUCAAAUAGUUUGCAUGCAUUGUUUGUAGUUUUCCUCUGGACAUGUAGGAGAAUCUUACAGAACUCUGCAUGGAGGGUUUCAAUGGGGUGUUUGUCCCAUUGGGUGAAAUCUUGUUUUGCAAGUGGGACCCCACACCUCACUGCCAUAAAGUGCAAUUGGUUCAAUGACACAUUCAAUUAGUUUUAGACACAUUUUAAUAGGUAUUUCAAUUUGAAUUAGUUUUUUAAUGGCGUAGAAUGCCCUGCGUGCUUUCUCUCUCAGCUCAUUCACUGCCUCGUUAAGGUGUCCAGUUGAGCUCAUUUAAACCUCAGUAAUUGUAGUGUGUACAGUAUUCUAUAUAUUUAAACCUCAGUAAUUGUAGUGUGUUCAGUACUCUAUAUAUUUAAACCUCAGUAAUUGUAGUGUGUACAGUACUCUAUAUAUUUAAACCUCAGUAA